GGUAAUUCCAGCUCCAAUAGCGUAUAUUAAAGUUGUUGCAGUUAAAAAGCUCGUAGUUGAACUUUGGGCUUGGAGAAUCGGUCCAACUUUGUUGUGUACUGUCUUCUCCAGGUCUUUCCUUCUGGUUCUCAUUUGGGGUUUUCCUCAUUUGUUGAUCCAGGAUUUUUACUUUGAAAAAAUUAGAGUGUUCAAAGCAGGCGUUUUGCUCGAAUAUAUUAGCAUGGAAUAAUAGAAUAGGACGAUUGGUUCUAUUUUGUUGGUUUCUAGGACCAUCGUAAUGAUUAAUAGGGACGGUCGGGGGCAUCAGUAUUCAGUUGUCAGAGGUGAAAUUCUUGGAUUUACUGAAGACUAACUACUGCGAAAGCAUUUGUCAAGGACGUUUUCAUUAAUCAAGAACGAAAGUUAGGGGAUCGAAGAUGAUCAGAUACCGUCGUAGUCUUAACCAUAAACUAUGCCGACUAGGGAUCGGGCGGUGCCUUUUAUUGGCCCACUCGGCACCUUACGAGAAAUCAAAGUUUUUGGGUUCUGGGGGGAGUAUGGUCGCAAGGCUGAAACUUAAAGGAAUUGACG
rnacentral:rRNA from 1 species